AAAAUGGGGGAAAAUUAGUAUAAAAUUAUAAUAAAAAUAAUUUUAAUAUAAGUAUAUUUUAUGGGGGUUAAAGUAUUUUAUAAAGAAAAAAUUAUAUAAUUUAUAGUGAAUUAGUAUUGUGAAAUAAAUUUGAAAUAUUUGAAAAUAUAUUAUAUAAAAAGUAAAUUUUAUUUAUUGUAUCUUGUGUAUCAGAGUUUAUUAAUAAAAAUUUUUAAUUACAAAAAAUUUCUCGAAUUUAAAAGAGUUAAUUAAUUAAAAAAUUUAUUGUGGCAAAAAUAUUUUUCAUAAUUAAUUAGUAAUGAAAUGUUAAUCGUUUUUAAAUAUAUCUAGUUUUUUUAGAAAAAAAUUUAAUUUAUAAUAAAUUUAAUUAAAAAAUUAAUUAAAAAAUUUUUUAAAAAUUGAAUUUAAUAUUUUAAGGGAUAAGCUUUAAUUUAAAUUUUUAUAAGUAAUAAUAUUUAUUUGAAAUUUUUAAAAUUUAUAUUGUUUAAAAAUUAUAAUUUUUUAUAAAUAAUUUCAUUAAAAAUAAAAUUUAAUAUUUAAUUUAAUUUUUUAUAAAAAAAUAAAAUUUAAUUAAUUAAUUUUAGUUAUAAUGAUAAAAUUAGUAUAAAAUAAAAUAAAAAUGUAAUUUUUUUUUAAAAUUAAUUAUAAGGAAUUCGGCAAAAAUUUAUAUUCACUUGUUUAUCAAAAACAUGUCUUUUUGAUUAAUAAUUAAAAGUCUAAUCUGCCCACUGAUAAAUAUUAAAGGGCUGCAGUAUUUUGACUGUACAAAGGUAGCAUAAUCAUUAGUCUCUUAAUUGGUGACUUGUAUGAAAGAUUGGAUGAGAUAUAAACUGUCUUAUUUUUAAUUUUAGAAUUUAAUUUUUUAAUUAAAAAGUUAAAAUAUUUAUAAAAGACGAGAAGACCCUAUAGAGUUUUAUAAAAAUAUAAAUUAAAAAUUUUUUUAUAAAUAUUAAAUUUAAAUUAAUAUUUUUAUUUUGUUGGGGUGAUAGAAAAAUAAAAUAAACUUUUUUUAUAUAGUAUAUAUAUAUAUAUAUAUAUAUAUAUAAACAUUAAUUGAUGAAUAUAUGAUCCAUAAUUAUUAUGAUUAUAAGAUUAAAUUACCUUAGGGAUAACAGCGUAAUUUUAUUUUUUAGUUCGUAUAAAAAAUAAAGUUUGCGACCUCGAUGUUGGAUUAAGAUAAAAUUUAAAUGCAAAAGUUUAAAAUUUUGAUCUGUUCGAUCAUUAAAAUCUUACAUGAUCUGAGUUCAAACCGGUGUAAGCCAGGUUGGUUUCUAUCUUUAUAAAAAUAAAAUAUUUUAGUACGAAAGGAUCAAAUAUUUAAAAUAAUUUUAAUUAAAAGAAUUUUAUUAAUUUAAUUAUAUAUAGUUAAA
rnacentral:rRNA from 14 species